GAUAAUAUGAAUCAAAAAAUAAAUAGAUUUCAACUUAGGAAUCUCCCCAUAAAGAAAAUACCCAGCCCAAAAUGCCUCCACUACUAAACAUUUAAGAUGUACGUUGCACCGAUUCUACACAAACUCACCAAGAAGGUAGAGGAAAAAACGUUGUCUACCUUCGUGAAUGAAGCUGAUAACGAAACGUGACAGUUCAAGAGACAAAACUAACAAAAAUAUCCCUCAUGACCAUGGAUGAAAACAUCUUUGUUUUAACAAAGUAUUAAGAUAUUAACUUGAUAGGUUUAUCAAAAGGAGAAUCAUCAUGAUCAAGUGAUCCAGGAUUACAAGACUGACUGAGCAUUCAAAUAUCAAUUAGUGUAGCUAGAUGUGGUGUGCACCCCUGUAAUCCCAAUAAUUUGGGAGGCUGAGGCAGGCGGAUUGGAAAUUAGAGAUCAGCCUCAGCAAUUUAGCCAGACUCUGUCUCAAAAAGGGCUAGGGAUUUUGCUCAGUGGUAGAAUGCCCCUGAGUUCAAUCCCAAGUACUGGAAAAAAAAAAGUCUAAUUUACAGAGUAAAAUGGUGAAAAAAAGUAUCUCAAUAGCUCAAUAAAUGUAAAAUAAGUAUCCAGAAAAAAAUCAGUAUCAAGUCACAAAAAUUAUCAGUUGUCUGGGAAUGUCAACCUGUUCAACAGCCUUUACAGAAAUUCAACCACUAGCAUCAUACAGAGUGAAAGGUUAAGCACUUCCUAAAAUUAGGAACAAAGCAAGAAUUUCUGCUCUCACUUUUACUAAACACUGUUUAAGAUCUCACCCAAUGCAAUAUGACAAAAAUAAAUGAAAGGUAUACAGAUUACAGGGUGAAGGGUGGAAACUGUAUUUGCAGACGAAAUGGUUGUCUACAAAAUUGUGCUCUAUAUGUGUAGUAAGAAUUGUAAUGCAUUCCGCUGUCAUAUAUAAAUUUUAAAAAUUAAUUAGAAAAAAGAAAAUAAGGAAUCCCUGGGUGGGGAGGUAGAGCAAUUAGAAAA
rnacentral:lncRNA from 1 species